AGAGUUUGAUCCUGGCUCAGGAUGAACGCUAGCGACAGGCCUAACACAUGCAAGUCGAGGGGCAGCGGAGAGGUAGCAAUACCUUUGCCGGCGACCGGCGCACGGGUGAGUAACACGUAUGCAAUCCACCUGUAACAGGGGGAUAACCCGGAGAAAUCCGGACUAAUACCCCAUAAUAUGGGCGCUCCGCAUGGAGAGCCCAUUAAAGAGAGCAAUUUUGGUUACAGACGAGCAUGCGCUCCAUUAGCCAGUUGGCGGGGUAACGGCCCACCAAAGCGACGAUGGAUAGGGGUUCUGAGAGGAAGGUCCCCCACAUUGGAACUGAGACACGGUCCAAACUCCUACGGGAGGCAGCAGUGAGGAAUAUUGGUCAAUGGUCGGCAGACUGAACCAGCCAAGUCGCGUGAGGGAAGACGGCCCUACGGGUUGUAAACCUCUUUUGUCGGAGAGUAAAGUACGCUACGUGUAGCGUAUUGCAAGUAUCCGAAGAAAAAGCAUCGGCUAACUCCGUGCCAGCAGCCGCGGUAAUACGGAGGAUGCGAGCGUUAUCCGGAUUUAUUGGGUUUAAAGGGUGCGUAGGCGGCACGCCAAGUCAGCGGUGAAAUUUCCGGGCUCAACCCGGAGUGUGCCGUUGAAACUGGCGAGCUAGAGUACACAAGAGGCAGGCGGAAUGCGUGGUGUAGCGGUGAAAUGCAUAGAUAUCACGCAGAACCCCGAUUGCGAAGGCAGCCUGCUAGGGUGAAACAGACGCUGAGGCACGAAAGCGUGGGUAUCGAACAGGAUUAGAUACCCUGGUAGUCCACGCAGUAAACGAUGAAUACUAACUGUUUGCGAUACAAUGUAAGCGGUACAGCGAAAGCGUUAAGUAUUCCACCUGGGGAGUACGCCGGCAACGGUGAAACUCAAAGGAAUUGAC
rnacentral:rRNA from 1 species